AUUAAAGGUAUUUUCCGGUAGACGAUGGGGAUGCGUUCCAUUAGAUAGUAGGCGGGGUAACGGCCCACCUAGUCAACGAUGGAUAGGGGUUCUGAGAGGAAGGUCCCCCACAUUGGAACUGAGACACGGUCCAAACUCCUACGGGAGGCAGCAGUGAGGAAUAUUGGUCAAUGGGCGAUGGCCUGAACCAGCCAAGUAGCGUGAAGGAUGACUGCCCUAUGGGUUGUAAACUUCUUUUAUAAAGGAAUAAAGUCGGGUAUGCAUACCCGUUUGCAUGUACUUUAUGAAUAAGGAUCGGCUAACUCCGUGCCAGCAGCCGCGGUAAUACGGAGGAUCCGAGCGUUAUCCGGAUUUAUUGGGUUUAAAGGGAGCGUAGAUGGAUGUUUAAGUCAGUUGUGAAAGUUUGCGGCUCAACCGUAAAAUUGCAGUUGAUACUGGAUGUCUUGAGUGCAGUUGAGGCAGGCGGAAUUCGUGGUGUAGCGGUGAAAUGCUUAGAUAUCACGAAGAACUCCGAUUGCGAAGGCAGCCUGCUAAGCUGCAACUGACAUUGAGGCUCGAAAGUGUGGGUAUCAAACAGGAUUAGAUACCCUGGUAGUCCACACGGU
rnacentral:rRNA from 1 species